AAAGUAUUAGUUAAACAAUAACAUUAAACUGUCAAAUUAAAAUUACUAUAGUAUACUUUA
rnacentral:tRNA from 1 species